ACGCUGGCGGCAGGCCUAACACAUGCAAGUCGAGCGGUAGAGAGAAGCUUGCUUCUCUUGAGAGCGGCGGACGGGUGAGUAAUGCCUAGGAAUCUGCCUGGUAGUGGGGGAUAACGUUCGGAAACGGACGCUAACACCGCAUACGUCCUACGGGAGAAAGCAGGGGACCUUCGGGCCUUGCGCUAUCAGAUGAGCCUAGGUCGGAUUAGCUAGUUGGUGGGGUAAUGGCUCACCAAGGCGACGAUCCGUAACUGGUCUGAGAGGAUGAUCAGUCACACUGGAACUGAGACACGGUCCAGACUCCUACGGGAGGCAGCAGUGGGGAAUAUUGGACAAUGGGCGAAAGCCUGAUCCAGCCAUGCCGCGUGUGUGAAGAAGGUCUUCGGAUUGUAAAGCACUUUAAGUUGGGAGGAAGGGCAGUAAAUUAAUACUUUGCUGUUUUGACGUUACCGACAGAAUAAGCACCGGCUAACUCUGUGCCAGCAGCCGCGGUAAUACAGAGGGUGCAAGCGUUAAUCGGAAUUACUGGGCGUAAAGCGCGCGUAGGUGGUUCGUUAAGUUGGAUGUGAAAUCCCCGGGCUCAACCUGGGAACUGCAUUCAAAACUGACGAGCUAGAGUAUGGUAGAGGGUGGUGGAAUUUCCUGUGUAGCGGUGAAAUGCGUAGAUAUAGGAAGGAACACCAGUGGCGAAGGCGACCACCUGGACUGAUACUGACACCGAGGUGCGAAAGCGUGGGGAGCAAAC
rnacentral:rRNA from 1 species